GGCCCCCGCUACCAUGGCAACCACCAUCAGCACCAUCAACAGCGAGUGAGGAUUCAUGACCAGCCGACACUACGCUCAGAGAAAUGAGAGAAAAAGAGCGGAACAGAUUUUGUACGAUCCCAGGUGGCUUCAGGUAACCAGAAAAAAAAAAAACCUGCAGGUCUGAGUGGAAGCGAGUGCACGCGUUCUCAUAACAGAGCGUUAAUCUCGCCGGAUCUCCGUAAUCUGCUGACUCAUUGGAAAGAAUGCCUCAGAGAAAUCCAAUCACUCAAAAAUGGCUCCACGCUCUGAAAAUGUAUGAUAUGAAAAGGCACCGGCUGUACAAUCAACACAAAAGAAGUGAUACAUCGUGAAAUUUCCC